rnacentral:lncRNA from 1 species
CUGGCUCGUUCACCUUUUUUAGUAAAAGGUGACUUGGUCAUCUUUUCAAGCAAACAAAACUCACAGAUAGGUAAUAAUUUAUAAUCAUCUUUAUCAAGAAUCUCUUCUUGAGCUAACCUAUUCAUCCUGUUCUUGUUGAUAUGACCUAGCCUACAAUGCCAAAAGUAGGCAUUUGUGAUAUCAUCUAUUCUAGGGUGUUUAUUUGAAAUGUACAUUAUAUUAGGCUAGAUAC